UAUAGUUUAUUGAGAUGCAUGGAUACACCACACCAAAAGCUUGAUUUUAUGACUGUUUCAAAAUGAAUUUCCUGCAAUUCUGCGUAGUAAUGAUUUAUAUUCACUACUUGGUCAAUUGAUUUGAUAGCAUGUUUAAUCUAUGCAAUUAAAUCUAUGAAUUGAUAGUUCACCUCUCUGUUUCUAUUCAUCUGUAAUAGGGUAUAUUGUAACCAUGUGUUCAAGACAAUCAAAUCAAAGUUUAUUUAGCACUGUCCUUUUAGAAUCACGGAGGGUUGUCCAAUUGUUUAAUACUUUACUAAACCCUCAUCAAGAUCUGUUGCCUAAUAGUCUAAUAAUAGUCAUAUUAAUCACUUAUUAUUAUUAUUAUUACAAAUAGAAGAUUAUCACUUCUCACAAUGGUGUGGGUUUAGUAAAGUUAGAUCAAAGAUGGAUCAAUGUCUAUCAAGAUCAUAUAAUGACUCAUUAGUAUUUUACAAAAAGAUACUUUUACUAGAAGAGACAGCAGUGAUAAUGAAAGCUAGACACCAGAAGAGACGGCAGUGAUAAUGAAAGCUAGACAGCAGAAGAGACAGCAGUGAUAAUGAAAGGUAGACACCAGAAGAGACAGCAGUGAUAAUGAAAGGUAGACAGCAGUGAUAAUGAAAGCUAGACACUAGAAGACACAGCAGUGAUAAUGAAAGGUAGACAGCAGUGAUAAUGAAAGCUAGACAGCAGAAGAGACAGCAGUGAUAAUGAAAGGUAGAAACCAGAAGAGACAGCAAUGAUAAUGAAAGCUAGACACCAGAAGAGACAGCAGUGAUAAUGAAAGCUAGACACCAGAAGAGACAGCAGUGAUAAUGAAAGCUAGACAUCAGUGAUAAUGAAAGCUAGACAGCAGAAGAGACAGCAGUGAUAAUGAAAGGUAGACAGCAGAGAUAAUGAAAGCUAGACCCCAGAAGAGACAGCAGUGAUAAUGAAAGGUAGACAGCAGAAGAGACAGCAGAGAUAAUGAAAGGUAGACACCAGAAGAGACAGCAGUGAUAAUGAAAGCUAGAUACCAGAAGAGACAGCAGUGAUAAUGAAAGGUAGACAGCAGUGAAAAUGAAAGGUAGACACUAGAAGAGACAGCAGAGAUAAUGAAAGCUAGACACCAGAAGAGACAGCAGUGAUAAUGAAAGCUAGACACCAGAAGAGACAGCAGUGAUAAUGAAAUGUAGACACCAGAAGAGACAGCAGUGAUAAUGAAAUGUAGACACCAGAAGAGACAGCAGUGAUAAUGAAAGGUAGACACCAGAAGAGACAGCAGUGAUAAUGAAAGCUAGACAGCAGAAGAGACAGCAGUGUUAAUGAAAGCUAGACAGCAGAAGAGACAGCAGUAAUAAUGAAAGGUAGACAGCAGUGAUAAUGAAAGGUAGACACCAGAAGAGACAGCAGUGAUAAUGAAAGGUAGACACCAGAAGAGACAGCAGUGAUAAUGAAAGGUAGACACCAGAAUAGACAGCAGUGAUAAUGAAAGCUAGACACCAGAAGAGACAGCAGUGAUAAUGAAAGCUAGACAGCAGAAGAGACAGCAGUGAUAAUGAAAUGUAGACACCAGAAGAGACAGCAGUGAUAAUGAAAGGUAGACACCAGAAGAGACAGCAGUGAUAAUGAAAGCUAGACAGCAGAAGAGACAGCAGUGAUAAUGAAAGGUAGACACCAGAAGAGACAGCAGUGAUAAUGAAAGCUAGACACCAGAAGAGACAGCAGUGAUAAUGAAAGCUAGACAGCAGAAGAGACAGCAGUGAUAAUGAAAGGUAGACACCAGAAGAGACAGCAGUGAUAAUGAAAGGUAGACACCAGAAGAGACAGCAGUGAUAAUGAAAGGUAGACAGCAGUGAUAAUGAAAGCUAGACACCAGAAGAGACAGCAAUGAUAAUGAAAGCUAGACACCAGAAGAGACAGCAGUGAUAAUGAAAGCUAGACACCAGAAGAGACAGCAGAGAUAAUGAAAGCUAGACACUAGAAGAGACAGCAGUGAUAAUGAAAGCUAGACACUAGAAGAGACAGCAGUGAUAAUGAACGCUAGACACCAGAGGAGACAGCAGUGAUAAUGAAAGCUAGAUACCAGAAGAGACAGCAGUGAAAAUGAAAGCUAGACACCAGAAGAGACAGCAGUGAUAAUGAAAGGUAGACGGCAGUAAUAAUGAAAGCUAGACACCAGAAGAGACAGCAGAGAUAAUGAAAGCUAGACACCAGAAGAGACAGCAAAGAUAAUGAAAGCUAGACACCAGAAGAGACAUCAGUGAUAAUGAAAGGUAGACAGCAGUGAUAAUGAAAGCUAGACACUAGAAGAGACAGCAGUGAUAAUGAAAGCUAGACACCAGAAGAGACAUCAGUGAUAAUGAAAGGUAGACAGCAGUGAUAAUGAAAGCUAGACACUAGAAGAGACAGCAGUGAUAAUGAAAGCUAGAC